CAUUAAAAUUUGCGUUCAAGUCUUGGUGGCGCUUUUACUCAGAAAAAUUUACGUAUUUUUAGAAGUAAAAGCGCCACCAAGACUUGAACGCAAAUUUUAAUGUCAU
rnacentral:pre_miRNA from 1 species